CAUCAGCGAGAUGGACCAGGAAAUGACCUACGAGGUGUUGGCCCUGCUCGACUUUAACAGCGACCGCAAACGCAUGUCCAUCAUCCUGAGGUUCCCUGAUGGCCGGAUCCGUUUGUACUGUAAAGGAGCAGACACGGUCAUCUACGAACGCCUCUCUCCUAACUCUAGACACAAGGAAGUGACCCAGACUGCUCUGGACAUCUUUGCCAACCAGACUCUCCGGACCCUGGUGUUUGUGU